AAAACUUUCAACAACGGAUCUCUUGGCUCUAGCAUCGAUGAAGAACGCAGCGAAUGCGAUACGUAAUGUGAAUUGCAGAAUUCAGUGAAUCAUCGAAUCUUUGAACGCACAUUGCGCCUGGCAGUAUUCUGCCAGGCAUGCCUGUCCGAGCGUCAUUU
rnacentral:rRNA from 1 species